rnacentral:rRNA from 1 species
ACAUCGGUGACAGGUGGUGCAUGGUUGUCGUCAGCUCGUGUCGUGAGAUGUUGGGUUAAGUCCCGCAACGAGCGCAACCCCUAUUGUUAGUUGCCAUCAUUCAGUUGGGCACUCUAGCGAGACUGCCGGUAAUAAACCGGAGGAAGGUGGGGAUGACGUCAAAUCAUCAUGCCCCUUAUGACCUGGGCUACACACGUGCUACAAUGGUUGGUACAACGAGUUGCGAGUCGGUGACGGCGAGCUAAUCUCUUAAAGCCAAUCUCAGUUCGGAUUGUAGGCUGCAACUCGCCUACAUGAAGUCGGAAUCGCUAGUAAUCGCGGAUCAGCACGCCGCGGUGAAUACGUUCCCGGGUCUU